GUGCACGCUACCAUGGCAACAGAAGCCAGGCAAGGUACAUAACAUUGAAGUUCGCACUGGUAAGAAGCUAACACAGAAUACUGUCGACAUUGCUAGACUAUAACACGUUUUUUUAGUUACCGUUGCCCCACAUCAUUACCUGUGACUUUUUGUGAAAACAACAUCGUCAGUGUUUUUGAAGGACGACUGACGCUUUUUAUCUAUAGUUUAUAACAUUAUUACAGCUUUGAGACUGGUACACUGGACUCUGAUGAGGAAGUAAACACGGCUGCUUCGGCAAGCAGUCGAGCGAGGAGAAGAGGGAGUCGCCUACGAGGUGCACCGGGCAGGGGCCGUGGGAGACGGGGCAGAGGUCGGCGCGUCGGCCCGACACCCAACAACCUGGGAGACGAAGACAUAGCUGAUUUUCAUGCGAUGAGCCAGUUGGUACCUGCUGCUUGCACUGGUUUCAUCCCAAGGAGGGGGUGUAGUUUCAGUUGCCUUUGCUAGAUGUAAAUAGUGUGCUGUGUAAUAAAAUUGUUUUCAUUUCA